rnacentral:tRNA from 1 species
GGGAACGAAUGGGUUCUGGUGGACCCCGGGGACUUCAAAUCCCGCGGUCGGGCGUUCAUCGCGUCCGAGGUGGGUUCGAUUCCCACGCGUUCCC